rnacentral:misc_RNA from 1 species
GAUGAAGAACGUAGCGAAAUGCGAUAAGUAAUGCGAAUUGCAGAAUUCAGUGAAUCAUCGAAUCUUUGAACGCACAUUGCGCCCGCCAGUACUCUGGCGGGCAUGCCUGUCUGAGCGUCAUUUCAACCCUCGCGCCCGGCUUCUGUCGGGGGCGGUGUUGGGGAUCGGCCUCCCGUCUUCCGGGCGGCCGGCCCCUAAAUGGAGUGGCGACCGCGCCGUAGCCUCCUCUGCGUAGUAGUGAAACACUCGCGGGCGGAGAGCGGUGCGGCCCGCCGUAAAACCCCCAACUCUUCUAAGGUUGACCUCAGAUCAGGUAGGAAUACCCGCUAAACUUAAGCAUAUCAAUAAGCGGAGG